rnacentral:lncRNA from 1 species
AUGCCAUCAUCUGUCCUGGUGUGGAGCACAGAUGACACUGCUACAAGAAGAGCAGUUCUGCACAGGGGAAAAAAGACAGGAGCCUGCAGAGGAUGGGAGAAGUUAAAUCAGGCCCUGGGUGCUGAUAGCCAGGUGAUGGGCAUCACAGGCCACAGUGCCAACAGUGCCUGUCCUCAGGAUGCAACCAGGAUGGUACCCACAGGUUGUACAUCCCAGGGCUGGAGAACACUUUGUCAAGAUUGCUGGGCCAGAGCCCAAGCUUGGCUGGAGCUUUCACUUGGAAAGCUUAGCUUGCUUCAAAGGCAGCAAUCGCAGCAAAGGAGUGUUUUGGCUCUAGAGAUGGAGGAUGCAGAUUUCCUGGAGAAGAAAGGCUGCCCUCAGACAGAGGGGAGGCUCCACCACAUUCCCAGCACUGAUGAGCUUUGGGUUCGCUGUGGGGAAGCACAUGGCAGCCCCAGGAGCAGAGCAGGCAGGGCAAGCACCAGAGGAUGCCCUGGUUUGCAGGGAGACAGCCUGAGGCCCUGGGUCACACACUGGAGGACAGGGCAGGACCAGCCACAGAGCCCUGCUCUCCGUGCCCAGCGGUGGCAGGGUGCUGGUGACACUGAGCGGGCUCACUGCCUCACGGCGUUCACCUUCACUCUCUGCAUUGCUCAGACAGCUCCUUGCACAAUGCCACGGCGGGGCAUCUGGGCAGAACCCGGCCUGUGCCCCCAGCAAUCACAGAGGGUCGAUCCCUGGAGCUCACAGCCCGGCCAGGCUGCCUUCCUGCAGCCACCUGGCACCCACCACUGCUGUGUGCUGGCAGCGCAGCGCGGGAAGGGCAGCUCGGCCCCGAGGGCUCUGCUGAACAUCAGCCUGGACCUGAGCCCUUCCGACCUCUCAGCUUUCCCUGCUCGCAGGCCAGCACAUGAGCUACGCACCGCUGCUUUGAGCCGCUGCCAUAUGGCACCAGCCCUGCACAGACAACUCCUGCAAGAGCUCAGCAGCAGCAUCUCUCCUCCGCUCCGGCAGCUGCUACAGACUGGGGUUUCUAAACCUUCCUUGAACACUCAGACCCUCAGCAGUGCUGCAGAAGUGCACGCUGUUUAA